UAGGGAAUCUUCGGCAAUGGGGGCGAACCCUGACCGAGCAACGCCGCGUGAGUGAAGAAGGUUUUCGGAUCGUAAAGCUCUGUUGUUAGAGAAGAACACGAGUGAGAGUGGAAAGUUCACACAGUGACGGUAACUUACCAGAAAGGGACGGCUAACUACGUGCCAG
rnacentral:rRNA from 1 species